GAUGAACGCUGGCGGCGUGCUUAAUACAUGCAAGUCGAGCGAACGGACGAGAAGCUUGCGUCUCUGAUGUUAGCGGCGGACGGGUGAGUCACACGUGGAUAACCUACCUAUAAGACUGGGAUAACUUCGGGAAACCGGAGCUAAUACCGGAUGAUAUUUUGAACCGCAUGGUUCAAAAGUGAAAGACGGUCUUGCUGUAACUUAUAGAUGGAUCCGCGCUGCUUUAGCUGGUUGGUAAGGUAACGGCUUACCAAGGCAACGAUGCAUAGCCGAGCUGAGAGGGUGAUCGGCCACACUGGAGCUGGAACACGGUCCUGGCUCCUACGGGAGGCAGCAGUACGGAAUCUGCCGCAAUGGGCGGAAGCCUGACGGAGCAGCGCCGCGUGAGUGAUGGAAGUCCUCGGAUCGUAAAACUCUGUUAUUAGUUAAAAACAUAUGUGUAAGUAACUGUGCACAUCUUGACGGUACCUAGUCAGAAAGCCACGGCUAACUACGUG
rnacentral:rRNA from 1 species